UUAAGUUCAGCGGGUAGUCCUACCUGAUUUGAGGUCAGAUGACAUGAAGUUGUCCUAAGACGAUUUGAAGCGACCUUUGGAGACUCGGUCCAGACGGCGUCAAAGUGUUACUUAUCACACCGUCGUACGGAACCGAACUCGCGGCGGAACGCUAAUGCAUUUCAAGACGAGCAGACGUCGAAGACUGCAACGUCCAAAUC
rnacentral:misc_RNA from 1 species